ACUGAAUGCAGAGUACCUGGAUUUCCUGCUUUCGUCAGACCCAGAGCUCAUUGACCUUCCACUGAAAAAGCAAGAGCAAGAGGUGGGGUCGACGCUGAAUACAGAGUACCUGAAUCCCCCCCUUCCUUCAGAUCCAGAUCCCAUUGACCUAGUGCUACGAGAGAUUUUGGAAGUGCUCCAGCAAAAGAUAUCAUAUAAAUCUCAAGCUGACUCCAGCAGCGUCACUCCUGUAACCGAAGAAACGUCUCCGGGGACUUCACGUGUCCAGGAAACUGCACCACUCCCAAACGCUCAACACCCCAUUUUGGAUCCUGCACGCUCACAGUCUGACACAAAUCCAAACCACGAUGGACAUAAUCCACCGCUGAGCAAGAAAGGGCCAAAGGAAGGUCGGUCGAGCUGUUCUCCCCUCCUUCCUUCGCUCCUUCUGGAAGAACCACUGCCAACUGAUGCCACACUCAAAUACAAUAACCCUGUU